rnacentral:rRNA from 4 species
GGGUUGUGAGGUUAAGCGACUAAGCGUACACGGUGGAUGCCCUGGCAGUCAGAGGCGAUGAAGGACGUGCUAAUCUGCGAUAAGCGCCGGUAAGGUGAUAUGAACCGUUAUAACCGGCGAUUUCCGAAUGGGGAAACCCAGUGUGACUCGUCACACUAUCAUUAACU